UUAAUUAACUACAUGGGUGAUGUGAUAUUCUAAACAAAUAAUAGUAUAUUUCUAAUUUUAUUAAAGCAAUUUGAUAUUUUAACAUUCUAAUCUCUAUAUAGUUUGUUGUUUUUAAACAAAAUACAUGGGCGAUGUUAUAUUCUUAACAUAUGAUAGUAUAUUUCUAAAUUUUAUUAAGGGGAUGUGAUAUUCUAACAUUCUAAGAACUAUCUAGUAAGUUGCUUGAUAACAAAAUACAUUGGCGAUGUAAUAUUCUAAACAUGUAAUAGUGUAUUUUUUAGUUUUAUUAAGGUGACGUGAUAUUCUAACAUUAUAAGCACUAUCCAGUAUGUUGUUUUUUAACAAAGUACACGGGCGAUGUGAUUUUCUAAACAUAUAAUACCGGUUGCAUGCCUUAUAUUUCUUAAUUUCUUUAAGGCAAUGUGAUAUCCUAAGGUUCUAAGCAUCAAAUACAAAUAAUUUUUAUAACAUUAAUGUACAAUAUACAUAGGAGAUGUGAUAUUCAAUAUAUUCGUUUCUUAUAGUGUGUAAUAUAUUUCCUAAUUAUAAUAAGGAAAUGUCAUAUUCAUAGUUUUUAAACUAAAAGUGCAACUAAUUAGUAUGAUAUUUAUAAACAAAGUACAUGGGGGAUGUGAUAUUGUAAACAUGCAGUGAUAGUUAGUGAUAUAUUUCUUAAUUAAUUUGCUAGAUGUGAUAUUUUAAGGUUCAUAGCAGAAAAUACAACUAAUUUUUAUGACAUAUAUAAACAAUAUACAUUGGGGAGGGGGGGGGAAGGUGAUAUUUUAAGUAUUAUAAAACUGUUAGUUGACAAUAGAUUUCUUAUAUACAUCUAAGAUUCAAAGCAGCAAAUAAGACUAACUAUGAAAUUUUAAAACAAUAUACAUUGGAAUUGUGAUAAUUCAUAUAUAUAACAUAUAUAAUACUGGUAGUACAUAGGGGGUAUGACAUUCUAAACAUAUUGAUAGUUUGUGGUAUAAUUCUUAGUUACACUAAGGGAGUGUAAUAUUCUAAGCAGCAAAUUUGACUAACUAUGACAUAAACAAUAUACAUAGGAAAUGUGUGUCUAAUCAUAAUACUAUAAUAUGCGUUAUAUUUUUUAAUUUUAUUAGAGAAGAUUUUUUAAUUUUAUUAGAGAGAAGAUUUAUUAGGAUAGUAUUCUAAAAUGCUCCUCUAAGAGAUUUAUUAGAAUAAUAUUCUUUUUCUAGGUUUCUUCUUGUUGUCCCAGGCCACUAUCAUUAUGUUUUGUUGCAUGUUAUCGGACUUGUAUGGUAACUACUUUUGAAGCCUUUCUGACUGAACAAUACCCAGCUGUUUGUCAUCAAUGCCAUCUAUAUCAUGUGAUGUAACACUGACUGCUAUCACUUUAAAAAAAAAAUUUAGUACGAAUCAGCAGUGAACUUAUAAAGAAAUUAUCAAACAAGUUGGAAGACUGAAAACUUUGAUACACUCAAAAAGUCACUUUUUAAGUUUAAUUAUUUCUUUUCGAAAUUGAAUAUACAAUCAAUACCAAAUUAGAGUCACAAAGUAAAUUUAACUUUCUUAAAGCAAUAUUUUA